GUUCAUGAUCAUAACUUAUAUGGAUAUGCAUAAUACAAAACUUCAUAGUUAUAAAAUAUGUUUACAUCAUACUUCAUUUGUUCUACAUUGGGAAUUGAUCAAUCCAGUGAAUGUUUGCUAUACUUGAUGGACUGAUUUCCGAGCAAGCUGAUGUUUCAAUGACAAAACUCGCAACAUUUCAUGGAUUGCUCGAAAAACAACUUUGGUCUUACAUUUUCUUUUGAUGUGAUUCAACUGACAGACCAUAAAAUAAAGUAUUACUUGAAUGC
rnacentral:lncRNA from 1 species